rnacentral:tRNA from 1 species
AAUCCGUCGAUUUCAAA